rnacentral:lncRNA from 1 species
GCAGAGUGAUCAGUGUGGGUCGGGAGCAGCGGAGAUCAUCGACUGCAUAGAUCCAAUCAGGCCUAUUACCGGGUUCAACAAGAAGCGGCAGCUGGGUUCGCAGUUGGCGACGAGCUUGCCGGUGGCGCUGUCGUAGGUCUCCAUGGUCUCCACCAGGAAGUCUGGCUCGGGGUUUUCGAUGAGCGGGUCAACGCAGCAGGUCGGCUGCCAGAACCACCCUGGCUGGCAGCGAGUCCCCGGCCACUGCAGGAGUCACGAUCCGUUAGACUUCAUUAACAGUUUACCGUACAAGAAAGGCUUUCUGUAAAGCCGAGAGAGAGAGAGAGAGAGAGGAAUAGGUACUAUGAGAGACAGGAUCAUGUAGUCGUAUGAAGCAGCUGCUAGCGCACAAGAGGCGGCGCACAAGAGGAAGCAGAACGUGGGAAGAGCCUUUGAGCCAGCCAUUCUGCAGAGGUGGAGAGGAUGAUCGGGGGAGAGACGCUUCGUGAGGUGAUGAGUCUGAUGGCUCUAUAUAAGCACUACAUUGAAGACACACCCACCUACUGAUAAUUGUUGGACUAAUAAUGCACCGCGAUUGCUGUUAGGGGGGUCUUAAAAUAAUGCACUUCGCAUAAAAUGUCGUACACCAACAUGAAACAUGAGGGACAUUCCCGCAUAUCGCAAGCAUAGUGGGUUGCAAAAUGCAAGGAAAGAAAGUAAGGAAUUUAUUUGAUUAUGGUCUCUCAUAGCUAUAAGAUUAUGGUCUCUCGUAGCUAUAUGGACUAUGUGACAUCGUCAAACCACGAUGUCACCUCCACCCUCCACCCCACCAGCCACUGGACCCUUUCCAUACAUUACAAUCAUUAAUCUUGAUGGAGGUGAACGAGAGAUAAUCAUAAGUAUUUUUCCUCUCUUCUCUUUUGUAUGACUCAUCGUAUUAGAUAUUAUCGUACGCUUCACGCACAUAUUGUUUUACUCACCUGAUCGAGCAACGAUAAUAGUGUGAUAGAAGCGAGCAAGGGAUACUCCUUCGACUAAGGGGCUUGAAAUCUAAGAGAUAGAAAAGGGAUUGAGGAUAAAGACACGAGCAAGAGAUAAUAUAAUUUUAUGACGAAUAAGAGUUAAAGAGUAAGAUGAGAAUGACUAUAUGAUGCGAAUAAAACAAAAAAGUGACAUUAGUAGAAUAAAAAGUAAAAAANNNNNNNNNNNNNNNNNNNNNNNNNNNNNNNNNNNNNNNNNNNNNNNNNNNNNNNNNNNNNNNNNNNNNNNNNNNNNNNNNNNNNNNNNNNNNNNNNNNNCGUGUUAUUAUCUAUCGGCAAACAAUUGACUUGAUAAUUGAUAAGGCAUAUAUUUAGGAUCUCGGCCACGUCGCGAUCCACGCCACGUCACACUCCUGCAGAUUCAACACAAGGGUUGCCUUCCUUCCACGUCGAGUUGGAGCUCGUAUAGGGAGGCACCCUCUCAACAAGUCCCUUCCCAGAAAGCUUGGGACGUUGUCCCAUGGCGUCGUUCCGCGCAUACCGGGUGACGAUUACACGAAGGUACGAUCUUGGGGGUAUCGAUCGUCAAGUCAAAUCCGCGUAUAAUCGAUCCUCGGACAAUAGUAUAAAAUCCCUUGACCGGCAUCUGGCUAGGAGACAAAGAACAGAAGAAAAAAAUCACUGACUUAGUCUACGAUGGGCCAAAGUCGGGAAUCUCCAGACCAGGGCGUGUGUGCAGGAACGUGGCCACCCCCGAACUAGCUCAAUCCCUCAUUGGAGAUGCGACCAUCCUGGCCGUUGAUCCAGACGCGACCAUCCCGACCCCUGAUCCAACUCGGCCUCGAUGCUUCUUCCAAUCGAUCGAGAGGCGCACUCCCGAACGUCGAAAACUCUGGACAUCGACAUGUGAACCAAAACGUGCCGACUCCUCGACCACGGCACGUAAGUUCACCAACAAAAAUAACGACGCAUUGUUGAAACAUUGAUUAUAAUCAAAGAAGAACGUUCUCAAAAUUAUUUUAAAAAAUAUUUUAUUUCUACCUAAUUAGUCAAUUAUUUAAAAUUUUUUUGAUGAUCAAUUCAUUUUCACUAACUCAGUAAAAUAUAAUAUUUGAAGAAAAUUAUACUGAAGAUAGAAUGUAAUAAAUGUAAUUAUAUAUAUAUAAUUAAUAUUUUUAAAAUAUAUUAAAUCGGAUAAUUUUACGGAAUAAGGUUUUGAGUCGUUCGAUGUAUGACUCUGUUAUAUCAAUAUAAGAUGAUAUUUUAGAUAUUAAAAAUAUAUACGAGACAACAUUUUGGUGCAGUUAUAUAUGUUUAAGAAAGACCACUUUUAUUACUGCAGGUGUGAAGAAGAUGCGACUCUACAACUCGGGAGUAAAAGACGAAGCGACAGCUCACAUCACCAUAAGUGCAAGCAUGUGGAUCACGCCAAGCAGAAGAAGACAGGCUUAAAGCAGUUCCUCCAUCACAGUGCCAUCUCGUCGCCGGAGGGCAACUCGAUCACUGUCUUGGAAACGGCGUCGUCUUCACGGCCUUGCAGUGGGUACGACACAGGGGGGAACUUGACCGUGUCGCCGCAGUUACUCUCCCUGCCGUUGGGGCAGCCGAUGAUCGACCUCCCGUCGCUGGAGACGCAGACGCGGAUCUGGUAGAGGUAGUCUUCGUAGAAGAAAGGCCAGAGAAUGUAAUUCCUGGUGCACACCACCGUGAACGAGAACCCGAUCCUGGGCACCAACGCGUCGUUGAUGUCGUCCAGGCUGUAGCUCUUCGUCGCGUGCGGUAUGAUCCCACUCGAGCCCAGGUUGACGAGGGGGUCCACCUUCUUCCUGAGUUGAAGCGCCCGGUCGAAGUAGAGCGACUGGUUGAGGCUGGAGCAAGUGCCGUAGGUGCACCACACGUCCUUCCAGUGGGGCAUCCCGCUGUUGCUGGGACAGGUCAGGUUGGCGUAGUACGUGUACAAGUUGUCGAGCAUGUUCACCAGCUGUCCAAACAAGACAAAGCGGUCAUCAUCGACAUCUCGGCCGAGUUAGCUCGGGUGGAGGAGGCUAACGAGACUCACCGGAAGUAUCUUGAAGACGCAGCUUCUGCUGCAGCCGGUGACCGGUUUACCGGUGGCGCUGUCGUAGGUUUCCAGGGCUUGGACGAGGAAGUCCGCCGCCGGCUCGCCAUUCGUCGGCAUACAGCACUUCCCUGUCGGUUGCGAGCUAGCACAGUAGCUUCCUGGCCACUGCAGUGAGAAGGACAUCAUACCAUCACCCAUCUUGCCAUCGAUGGUUACCACUACUGCAGGAAACCAGAACCAAGUAGAGGGUAACUAUACCAUAAGUUUCAAGAUCAGGUAGUCGGGCUUCGAAGCUGCCCUUGCCGCCGGAGAGGAAGACAAGCAUAACAGCAAGACAAGCAAGCAGAUCCCAGGAAGAGCCUUGAGGAUAGCCAUUCUGCAGGAGCUGUCGAGUUGCCUUGGUGAUGGUGGAUAAUAUAAGCCCAUCGUGGAACACACUGGUUGUGGCCUGGUGGUGGCGGGAUCCAUGGCAGCUCUAUCAAGAAAUGGCUGUCCUCGUCUCAGCCAUCAGCCUCUCCCCACGAGUUUCACGUGGCUUGCAGAUCUCAUCGCUUUCGAGAAAUGGUCGCCGUGCUGUUCACCACCAAUUUAAUGAUGACAUUAAAAUAAUGGCACAGUACAAGAUCAGAUGAUGUUCCAUGUGACUGACUUCUUUUAUUUGGACUCUCUCUCUCUCUCAUGAUUCGGGAACGGACAAGGAGAUGGAAGCAUUGAUUACAGUCGAGCCACCCAAACAACACCCCACUCCUCGCCAUCAAAUGUUCUUAUCUUCACAGACCGAACAUCAUUGAAGGGACUAAUAAGAAGAAGAUGGAUAGCAACCUGAUCGAAACAAGAACAAUGUUGAGAUGGGGAGGGGUUACGAACCGGUUCUGAGAAAGAUUUCUAGAUGUGAUUUCCUCUAAAGAAAUCAUGCAUUAAUUUGUUCUUGACCAAGUACAACAUGACUCGGAGAUUGGUAGACAAGAAAAAUGUAUUCAGAUCGUUCAUAAUUUCAUUUAAGAAAACCGAUCUAGAAGGAUUUUUUUUUGCGACAAUUAGGGAUUGAAAAUAGUCACGAUUAAGCCACUAAGUAGGGGUGAUGGUAAUUUCAGAACGGUCAAUUUUGAUUUCCGAAAUCAGCAACCGAGAAAAUAAAGAGUUAAAAAUAAUUAUAAUGAAUAUCAAAGUCUUUCCUCCAAUUACUAUAUGUUAGGAUAAAAAAUAUCGUUGAUGCGUGUAUUAGCAUGAUGUGAUCCUGAUCCGCAUACGAGGAGUCGAUAGAACAAGAUUUCUUCGAUCUCGUUCAUAUACAAAGACUAAGAUUGAAAGGGAUUUUCCGAGUUGAUUUAUCUAAUGCUUAACUUAGCACUUAGUUGCAUACAAAGACUUAUUUUUUUUUUAAUGAAGAUCCUAUAGAGAAAAAGUUCGAACUCAACUAUCUUUUUUAUUUUUAUGAUAUAUUUUUGUGAAUAUUUUUAUAGGAAAACUAGUUUAUAAUCAACUCAAACUACCUUUUAAUAUUCCUGAAAUAUUCCUACAAAUAUUUUGUAAGAAAGUCUGAAUUGUCUUAUGGGAAUAAUUCACGAUUAGCUAGUUUUUAAUUGAUCUGAAUUAUCUUCAAUUUUUUAUGAAUAUUUAAAUAUUUCAUCGAGGAGGUAGCUUAACAAAUCGGUAAUUGACCCGAGCUAUCUUUUGAGUUCGAAUAGAAAAUAUUGGCUUAAUAUGACAUUGACGUUACGAACGAUGACUAACCAAUUUAAUAUUUUCUUUCGCUAUGUGUAGUCAAACACUAUGUGAGUUGUGUUCAAACCACAAACUCUACGUAGCUAAAGAAAAAAAAAAAGGUAAGAUUAUUUUGUAUGAUCUAUAUUGAUCAAACGAUAAACAAGAAAAAAAUAGAAAAAGGUAAGAUAAGAUUAUUUUUUAUGGUCUCAUCGAAUAAAGUUUAUGUCGUCGAAACAAUUUCUAUGGUUACAAGAAUAGUGGAAGUCUCGUCAAGAGGAAACAAAAGAAUAUGGAAUAUGUGGAUCUCCUUUUUCCACGAAGGAGAGAUGGCAGAAGAAUUUUGUGUUCGAAUCCCAUCAUUUAUUUUGUAUCAAAAAAAGACACUAAUUCAACGAAAAGCUGAACACAAAUGAUGGAGAGAUGGAGUUUAGAUAUCAAACGUAUGGGAAUUUUACCUUCAUUAAGUAAAAUCCCAACUUGUUCAUGACAGGUAAUAUGCUCUGUUGUUAUUUGAUUAAUCUUAGAGACAGAGAUCAUAAAACAACAUCUUAUUCCAGUAGAUCGCAAGACGAUGAUGACAUCCUACACACAGGCAAUUCAUCAUGUUUGAGUGCCAAGAUGAUGAUGAUGACAUCCGCAUGACAAGAGGGCAGUAAUCCGUGGAUCGAUCACUGAGUCAUCGCCUUGUCCGAUGGCAACUUGAUGUGGUCGACCGCCGGAUGGCGCGGGCGCCCGAGCAUGUCGUCCGUGAACGGGUAGAACUUGACCUUGCUGCCGCAGUUGCUCUUCCUGGCGAAGGGACAACCGAUGAGAGACUUGCCGUCGGCGGAGACGCAGAUGCGGACUCUGGAGAGCAGGUAUUCCCGACUCAGCACGCCCAUCUCCGUGGUGCACUCCACCACCGCCGAGAACCCGAUCUUGGGCACCAGCGCGUCCUCGAUGUCCUCCAAACUGUAGCUCUUCGUCUCCGACGGGAUGAUGGCUUGAGAUCAGGAACAGAUCCAUGCGUUAGCUGCAGACACUUGUAAGCUCGAGGUCGGCGUGCAGGGCAGGGCUGCUUACCUUUGGAGCCGAGAGCACGGAGGAUGUCCACUCGAGCCCGGAGCUGAAGCGCCCGGCCGAAGUAAUUCACCUCGCUGAGGCUGGUACAGUUGCCGUAGGUACACCAGGCGGCCUUCCACACCUGCUUCCCGUUCUGGGCUGGGCAGCUCAAGCUGGGCCAGUAGGCGUUCAAGUCGUCCAACAGAUCGACAAGCUGUGGCAUGCGCAGAGUGAUCAGUGUGGGUCGGGAGCAGCGGAGAUCAUCGACUGCAUAGAUCCAAUCUGGCCUAUUACCGGGUUUAUCAAGAAGCGGCAGUUGGGUUCGCACUUGGCGACGAGCUUGCCGGUGGCGCUGUCGUAGGUCUCCAUGGUCUCCACCAGGAAGUCUGGCUCGGGGUUGCCGAUGAGCGGGUCAACGCAGCAGGUCGGCUUCCCGUUCCACCCUGGCUGGCAGCGAGUCCCCGGCCACUGCAGGAGUCACGAUCCAUUAGACUUCAUUAGCAAUUCACAGUAGGACUCAUCGAUUGCACAAGAAGGGCUUUCUGUAAAGCCGAAACAAAAGAGAGAGAGGAAUAGGUACUCUGAGAGACAGGAUCAUGUAGUCGUAUGAAGCAGCUGCUAGCGCACAAGAGGCGGCGCACAAGAGGAAGCAGAACGUGGGAAGAGCCUUUGAGCCGGCCAUUCCGCAGAGGUGGGAAGGAUGAUCGGGGGAGAUGAUGAGUCUGAUGGCUCUAAAUAAGCACGAAGACACACCCACCCACCCACCGAUAAUUGUUGGGCUACAUCGAUAUUGUUCUCGUGAGUAUAAUAUAAUAUAAUAUAAUGCACCUCGAUUGCGGCAUGGGGGUCGUAAAAUAAUGCACUUCGCUUUAAAUUUCGUACACCAACGUGAAACACGUGGGACGUUCCCGCAUCCCGCAAUCGUAGUGGGUUGGAAAGUGCGAGGAAAAAAAGAAGGAUUUUAUUUGAUUAUGGUCUCUCAUAGCAUAUUAUACUCUUCAUCUAAAUUAGGGAUUAAAAGGCUUCGAGACCAAGCAAGUGAAUAAUAAUAAAAUAAUAUAUUAAAAAAUCGAUCAAGAAAAAAUCCGUAAAAUAUUUUAUUCAUCUUUGAACAUGCUUUCGACCAUGCAUUAUUGAAACAUAUUCGUCCAUUUGAAAUAUCAUAUCUUUAAUCGCAUAUUACAUAUCAUAUGAAUUGGAUAUGUGUACUACCAUUAUUUUCCUUAAAUAAUAAUUUAAAUUUAUUAAAUUAAAAUUUAUGCCUGUGGACAUUAUUGUGUGAUCGGAACUGAGAACGAAGACUCGAACAAUGCAAAGGUCCGUAAGGUCUCGCCGAAUCAUCUUCCUUUGUCUUCCCUUUUACGCCAUCGGCGGUACCGAUGCAUUCGAUCCGGAGCUGGGCCUUCUCCGCCCUGAUCCUGGCUGUCACCGUCCUCUUCUUCUUCUUCUUCGACUGGCCGUCUCCUCCUCUUCAAGAAAUAGCCGGAGAUAUUCCUGGAUCCUUGAAUGACAUCGCUGUGACGGUAGGCCAUGGCUUCGAUUUCUUUCUCUCCCCUUCCUCUUCCCUUACCUUCUUUUCCCUUAGGAUAGGACAUAUUUUGGCCUUAUAUGAACCACCGAUAGACGUUGCAGAUCGACACAACACCGUACGCCUCCAAAACCGUGGGGUGCAUGCCACGUCAAGAGCCAACGAUGCAAUUGUGCGGCUUGACCACCUCAAAAGCUGGGGGCGGUGCCGUCUGCUGCUAGGGCAGUGUCGUCUGACGCCCCUCGAGCACCCUCGAAGAUGUCAUCUUGUCAGAGAGGUUGUUCCGCCCCUAGAGUUAACGACCAUAUCGGACCAGGGCCCGACCAAUUACCGCACGCAGGUAUAAAUACCCCCGACCUGAUCCAAAAAAAAGGGAGAAAAGGAUGAGAGAUUUAGAAUGAAUCUAACUUGCUCGUCGGAGGGGCCAAAGUUGGGACUUACCCUACGAGGGUCUUUUUGCAGAGAGGUAGUCGUCGCUGAGACGCGAAUGUCGUCUUCACACGGACGGUGCCCGGUACGCAGAGGAGGGUGGCCCAACGAGUCGGACUCGACAAGUGUCAGCCCGCAUCUCCCAUCUCCAAGAGGCUUCCACACCACAAGGAGGAUCCCCAACCAUCCGAGGGGAUGAGAGGACGCAUCUUCUCAUGAACAAUGCUCAUAUCGGCCAACUUUGGAAAGCCGGCUCACAGCGAGGCUCAGGCCGACCUUGCCACCUCAACCGGCGCUCAACGCGUUUAAGGGGCGCAACCACUCAAACGAUAGUAAUUCCGCCAGAAGUUCCCGACGUCGGCAGGUGGGCCUAGUCAUGCUGACAUAUUAGUCACGACAUGUUUGUUCACUAACAUUUUGGCCCUAGAAGAAGGGCCCAUGUCGCGGGAAUAGCUGGCAAGAACGUGCCCUGGGAGGGAACCCCCGACCGACCUCCCUUUCGCUGAGCCAGAAGGACAACCCCUCUCUACCCCUAUGGACGGAGGGAUACCGAUUUCAACGCUUGAUCGUUACUGGCGCUUGUUCAACGACCCGGGACUAUCCCCCCCGGGGCUCACCCCGGGGGGCCCGGCUGUGAUGCCCGAGGCAUUCCUUAGCCUAACCAAGCAAGUAUAGACCAUGACAGGCAUGAUGCACUCACUCGCCCCGAUCACUCCCCAAAUCGGGCAGCCCUCGAUGCCCUCGACCGAUCCGACCCGGCAACCCCCGAACGGGGAACAGCUCGGGGUUGGGCCAGCCUCGUGGCGAGCAACGGACCCGAGGGGUCCUCCCGUGCAAAAUGCGCCCACAGCUUGCUGAGCCACCCCAUCUCAUCUAGAGCCCGAUACUAUAUCAUCUGACUCGGCGAACGACUCACUCAGAGCUCAGUUGUCCCGGGUCAAUCAGCACCUGGACGAGUUCCAGCGUGAGCUUUGGAGAUUGCGUAGUGAGCCUAGCGAGGGCGCUUUGGUUGGGUCCCUCUUUACCCAAGAAGUACAAGAUAAGCCGGUCCCCCUCAACUUCAGGUUCCCGACAUUAGAAACGUACGAUGGAGGCUCGAUCCCAUGGAGCAUGUCUUUGUAUUCCGGGCCUAGAUGGCCCUCUAUGGUGCCUCCGAUGUGCUGAUGUGCCGAGUGUUUCCGACCACUCUGCGUGGCCCGGCGUGGACAUGGUUCAGCCGGCUGUGUCAAGCUUCAGUCUCGUCCUUCGACCAGGUGGUCGAGGAAUUUGAGCAAAGCUUCCUCACCGGCGCACGGCCCAGGCCCUCCAUGGCCACUUUGCUUGCACUAUCUCAGCACGAGGACGAGUCGCUCUCUCAGUUCGUGGCACGGUUCACACUAAGAUCCGAGGUUUUUCAGAUACUCACCCUUCUCUAAUCUUGCAAGCCUUUAUGAUGGGUCUUAAACCUUUAAGGUUCUUAUGGUCGUUGAUCGAGAAGCCGCCAGCGACCAUCUCUGAGAUGCUUCUACGUGCCAACCAGUACAUUGCCGUCGAGGCUUUAGUGGCGGGGAGGCACGUGGAAGGCAAGAAGCUCAGGAUGGAGCUGUCUCGAGGAACGGCCUCGGCGUUCCCGACGCCUCCCCGCCGGGGGCUCAACCGACAAGAGCUGCUACUCCCAAGACCCCCACCUCUCCCCCUAAACACAUCCCGUUCCGAGAUCUUCCUCUAGAUCAAAGAGACGAGCCUCUUGCAGCAGCCUUGCCCUAUGAAGGCCGCCCACAGAGACCAAUCUAAAUACCGUGGGGAUCCGUCGGCACACCCCGGAGGUGGGGGAGAAGUGAUAGGGCAUAUUUUGGCUCUAGAUGAAUCACCAACAAAUGUCACAAACCAAUAGCCACGAACGCAAUGCCAUGCGCCACCAGAACCACGGGGUGCAUGCCACGUCAAGUUCGGUACUAUGUGAUUGUGCGACUUGACCACCCCAAGAGCUCGGGGCGGUGUCGUCUACUUUUGGGACAGUGCCGUCUGACGCCACUCAAGCACCCCCAAGGAUGCCAUCUCGUCAAAGAAGUUAUCCCACCCCCAUGAAAGUUAGCGGCCACGCCGAACUGAGGCACAACCAACUCUCGCACGCAAGUAUAAAUACCCCCGUCCGAUCCCGAUGAGAGAAGAAAAAAAGGAGGAAGAAAAAACAGGGGAAUCCGAACUAAUCUAACUUGCUUGUCGGUGGGGCCAAAGUCGAGAGACACUCGACGAAGACCGUUUUGCAGGGAGGUGAUCGCCACUGAGCUGCGAGCGUCUCCACCCUGAAGUUGUCACCUAAUGCGCAGAGGAGGGUGGUCCAGUGGUUCGGAUCCCAACCAGCGCCGGCCUGCAUCUCCCAUCUCAAGGGUGUGCCCACGUCGCGGGGAAAGAUUGCCAACUAUCCCGGGGAUGAGAGGACACAUCUCGCCAGAAGCGACGCUCAGGUCGGCUAGCUUUGGAGUGCUAACCCCCAGCCGCUCGCGAGGACCCGACCGACCCUACCGCCUCAACCCUCGCUCGUAACGCUCGAGAGGCGCAACCAUCUCAUCAUCCUACUCAUUCCACUAGAAGUUUCCGACGUCGGUCCGUGGACCAAACUGUGAUGUCUCAUCAGCCAUGGUACUUUUGUUCACUAACAGACAUCAAACAUAUGGGAAUUUUACCUUCAUUAAUUAAAAUCCCAACUUGUUCAUGACCGGUAAUAUGCUAUGUGAUUAUUUGAUUAAUCUUAGAGACAGAGAUCAUAAAACAUCAUCUUAUUCCAGCAUAUGGCAAGACGAUGAUGACAUCCUACACACAGGCAAAUCAUCGUGUUUUAGUGCCAAGAUGAUGAUGAUGAUAUCCGCAUGACAUCGUACACAUAUCGCCUUGUCCGAUGGCAACUUGAUAUGGCCGGCCGCCGGAUGGCGCGGGCGCCCGAGCAUGUCGUCCGUGAACGGGUAGAACUUGACCUUGCUGCCGCAGUUGCUCUUCCUGGCGAAGGGACAACCGAUGAUAGACUUGCCGUCGGCGGAGACGCAGAUGCGGACUCUGGAGAGCAGGUAUUCCCGACUCAGCACGCCCAUCUCCGUGGUGCACUCCACCACCGCCGAGAACCCGAUCUUGGGCACCAGCGCGUCCUCGAUGUCCUCCAAACUGUAGCUCUUCGUCUCCGACGGGAUGAUGGCUUGAGAUCAGGAACCGAUCCAUGCGUUAGCUGCAGACACUUGUAAGCUCGAGGUCGGCAUGCAGGGCAGGGCUGCUUACCUUUGGAGCCGAGGGCAUGGAGGACGUCGGCUCGAGCCCGGAGCUGAAGCGCCCGGCCGAAGUAAUUCACCUCGCUGAGGCUGGUACAGUUGCCGAAGGUACACCAGGCGGCCUUCCACACCUGCUUCCCGUUCUGGGCUGGGCAGCUCAAGCUGGGCCAGUAGGCGUACAAGUCGUCCAACAGAUCGACAAGCUGUGGCAUGAGCAGAGUGAUCAGUGUGGGUCGGGAGCAGCGGAGAUCAUCGACUGCAUACAUCUAAUCUGGCCUAUUACCGGGUUUAUCAAGAAGCGGCAGUUGGGUUCGCACUUGGCGACGAGCUUGCCGGUGGCGCUGUCGUAGGUCUCCAUGGUCUCCACCAGGAAGUCUGGCUCGGGGUUGUCGAUGAGCGGGUCAACGCAGCAGGCCGGCUUCCCGGUCCACCCUGGCUGGCAGCUAGUCCCCGGCCACUGCACGAGUCACGAUCCAUUAGACUUCAUUAGCAGUUCACCGCAGGAGUCAUCGUUUGCACAAGAAAGGCUUUCUGUAAAGCCGAAACAAAAGAGAGAGAGAGAGAGAGAGAGAGAGAGAGAGGAAUUAGGUACUAUGAGAGACAGGAUCAUGUAGUCGUAUGAAGCAGCUGCUAGCGCACAAGAGGCGGCACACAAGAGGAAGCAGAACGUGGGAAGAGCCUUUGAGCCAGCCAUUCUGCAGAG